rnacentral:rRNA from 1 species
CGCUAGCUACAGGCUUAACACAUGCAAGUCGAGGGGCAGCAUUUCAGUUUGCUUGCAAACUGGAGAUGGCGACCGGCGCACGGGUGAGUAACACGUAUCCAACCUGCCGAUAACUCGGGGAUAGCCUUUCGAAAGAAAGAUUAAUACCCGAUGGCAUAAUUAGACCGCAUGGUCUUAUUAUUAAAGAAUUUCGGUUAUCGAUGGGGAUGCGUUCCAUUAGGCAGUUGGUGAGGUAACGGCUCACCAAACCUUCGAUGGAUAGGGGUUCUGAGAGGAAGGUCCCCCACAUUGGAACUGAGACACGGUCCAAACUCCUACGGGAGGCAGCAGUGAGGAAUAUUGGUCAAUGGGCGCAGGCCUGAACCAGCCAAGUAGCGUGAAGGAUGACUGCCCUAUGGGUUGUAAACUUCUUUUAUAUGGGAGUAAAGUUUUCCACGUGUGGAAUUUUGUAUGUACCAUAUGAAUAAGGAUCGGCUAACUCCGUGCCAGCAGCCGCGGUAAUACGGAGGAUCCGAGCGUUAUCCGGAUUUAUUGGGUUUAAAGGGAGCGUAGGUGGACAGUUAAGUCAGUUGUGAAAGUUUGCGGCUCAACCGUAAAAUUGCAGUUGAUACUGGCUGUCUUGAGUACAGUAGAGGUGGGCGGAAUUCGUGGUGUAGCGGUGAAAUGCUUAGAUAUCACGAAGAACUCCGAUUGCGAAGGCAGCUCACUGGACUGCAACUGACACUGAUGCUCGAAAGUGUGGGUAUCAAACAGGAUUAGAUACCCUGGUAGUCCACACAGUAAACGAUGAAUACUCGCUGUUUGCGAUAUACAGUAAGCGGCCAAGCGAAAGCAUUAAGUAUUCCACCUGGGGAGUACGCCGGCAACGGUGAAACUCAAAGGAAUUGACGGGGGCCCGCACAAGCGGAGGAACAUGUGGUUUAAUUUGAUGAUACGCGAGGAACCUUACCCGGGCUUAAAUUGCAUUUGAAUAUAUUGGAAACAGUAUAGCCGUAAGGCAAAUGUGAAGGUGCUGCAUGGUUGUCGUCAGCUCGUGCCGUGAGGUGUCGGCUUAAGUGCCAUAACGAGCGCAACCCUUAUCUUUAGUUACUAACAGGUCAUGCUGAGGACUCUAGAGAGACUGCCGUCGUAAGAUGUGAGGAAGGUGGGGAUGACGUCAAAUCAGCACGGCCCUUACGUCCGGGGCUACACACGUGUUACAAUGGGGGGUACAGAAGGCAGCUACCUGGUGACAGGAUGCUAAUCCCAAAAGCCUCUCUCAGUUCGGAUCGAAGUCUGCAACCCGACUUCGUGAAGCUGGAUUCGCUAGUAAUCGCGCAUCAGCCAUGGCGCGGUGAAUACGUUCCCGGGCCUUGUACACACCGCCCGUCAAGCCAUGAAAGCCGGGGGUACAUGAAGUACGUAACCGCAAGGAGCGUCCUAGGGUAAAACUA